rnacentral:rRNA from 1 species
UUGAACGCUGGCGGCAGGCCUAACACAUGCCAGUCGAACGGUAACAGGAAACAGCUUGCUGUUUCGCUGACGAGUGGCGGACGGGUGAGUAAUGUCUGGGAAACUGCCUGAUGGAGGGGGAUAACUACUGGAAACGGUAGCUAAUACCGCAUAACGUCGCAAGACCAAAGAGGGGGACCUUCGGGCCUCUUGCCAUCGGAUGUGCCCAGAUGGGAUUAGCUUGUUGGUGGGGUAACGGCUCACCAAGGCGACGAUCCCUAGCUGGUCUGAGAGGAUGACCAGCCACACUGGAACUGAGACACGGUCCAGACUCCUACGGGAGGCAGCAGUGGGGAAUAUUGCACAAUGGGCGCAAGCCUGAUGCAGCCAUGCCGCGUGUAUGAAGAAGGCCUUCGGGUUGUAAAGUACUUUCAGCGGGGAGGAAGGGAGUAAAGUUAAUACCUUUGCUCAUUGACGUUACCCGCAGAAGAAGCACCGGCUAACUCCGUG